rnacentral:lncRNA from 1 species
CGGGGCGGAGUUGUGACGUCAUCGCCGCGGGGCGGGGCCUGCGGGGUCGGGAAGAGCAUCGAGUUGCAGUGACGCCGGCUGCCGGCUCCCAAGAGCAAUCCCGUGUCCCUGGCGCCCUUCGCGUGGUCUGUUAGCGUCGAGUCCCGCGCGGAGAUGGCAGACGACCUUGGAGACGAGUGGUGGGAGAAGCAGCCGGCAGGAGCAGACAGCAGCCCAGGUACCACUCUGCCCGCGCUCCCGCAGGGCCUCCUCUUGCGAGCCCUGCCGAGCACCUCAGCCACGCCGCUUCUGGUCGGCAGAUCCGGCAGGGGAAGCGGUGGGUGCCACAUGCGUGCCCUCAACGCAGAUCUGCCCGUCUGUCAUUCAAGAACCCUUUCCAAGCCCUGUGUUUCUUUAACUUUUUUUUUCCCCCCUUGAGGCUGGACGACAGUUUUCAUGAGGAGAGGCAGUUUUGCCUCGUGGUUAAAGAAAAUCCC